UGUAACCAUGCUGGUGAACCAGUGAGCCCAGGCUUAUCGGUUAACCAUGUACCUGUUAACAUCCCCAGUGUUACCACUGGUCAGACUCCUGAAGGGAAGAGCUGCAGGGGCCAGAACUCAGUUUGCCCUGCUGGGCGAGAACCGUUAAUGCUUAGUGUGUGUGAAUUGCAGACUGUCAACCCAGAAAGGCUUUCAGUCUAACACCUUAGGGGGAGUGCAGAGAGAUGGGAAGGAGACAAAGAAGCAGCUAGCCCUGUAACCAUGACUGUGUUGAUGACUUAAUCUUUGUCACAGGAGAAAUAUAAUCCUGAACUCUGAUCUUGGCUGGUGAGUAAGCAGGAAACUGAUUUUUUCCCCCUUGUUUUGUACAUUUCAGACUUGCUGCUCCACUGGUUCAAUAAUUGGGAAUUUUAAAUUGAUUUUUUUUUAAAUUUGUAAUAAAGAUUUCAUCACCCCAUUUCAAAUAGAAAGACUUUGAGAUUACAGUUUGGACCUCUGAAAACUGGGACUCUCUGGUCUGGCAACAUCCGUGGUCCAGCAGGACCAGAGACGUUCCUGGACUAGGGAGUCCGGGCUGGGAGCCUAGUGGCAGGAGGGCUGGAUGCUGGCAGCAGUGGGGCCGGGACCUGGGUAUGAGCCUCAGUAGCAGGGCGGGAGGUGCAGAAGCCUGUCAGAGCUGGGAAUGUGGCAGCCAAGGAUGUGGGGACUGCAGCAGCACAGCUGUCUGGCAAGAGAGGUAAGUCGUAGCAGCCCGGCUCAGGCCAGCAGCAGAGAAGGGCAGUGGGCUGGGAGACUGGUAGCAGGGGUCCUCCACAGGUCCAGCAAAUUCCCUUGUUCAGCACCGUUCACGUCCUGAGGAUGCUGGACCAGAGAGGUCCAACCUGUGCUCUGUAUGAGACUAACUUAAGUUCUCAGAGAGGGGGCAGGAUGGGCUGUUUUAAAACCAAACUCUAACCGUUACAAGUGAUCGUGUCAAUUAUUUCAAAAAUCUGUUAAGUGAGGUAAUGAAAAGGAGACUCAAUUGCGGAGGCAUGUGUAAUUUACACGGCAUUAAGUCCUGGCCAGAGCUGCAUUGGGAGUCUGUAGAUUGCAUUCUUAUUGUGGCUUCCCUUGAUUUGCUACGGAGACACACAGCCUUAUUACUAUUCAGGUCAACUAGUUGGGGUACAAUAAUAUGCCACCUUCUGCUCCCUGACAAUGAUCAUUUCCAUCCAGAUUAGGACAAUGUCUGCCUUCAGAAACCUAAUUAUUGGGGCUAUUGAUUUUUAGUUAUUUAGCGGAUAUACAGUGAAAAACAGUAGUACAGCUUGUAUGGCUCCUGUUCCUUGCAAGGUUUGAGAACUUGACCUCAUCCCGAGAAGACAGUAGGUUGUUACUGUCCAUUGUAGUAGUCCAUUGUUCCUUUUAAAUGAACCUGCUGCAGAGAGAGUUUCUCUCAAUUUUCUGAAUUUGUGUUGUCUGUCUUGGAAGAACAGAAUAGCAGGGUUAGGGCACGUUGGAUCUAGUGUUGCUAGACCAGUCAUGUUUUAUCUGUCAAAAUAUAGUUCAUUUAGGCCUUGUCUACAGUAAUUCUUGCACAUUGGUUGGGGUUCACUUGUACUGGACCAAUGAGAACCAUGCAAGUACCCAGAAAGAGGAAGGAUGCCUUUACAAACAAGCCGCCUAGAUUCCCUUUAGAGCAGUAUUACCACUAUUACUAGAUAAAUGGCAAGACUGAGAGUUUCUGAAAAUGCAGCCUUCAAUGAUAUAGGCCUGAUGAAGAGGGUUUCAGUAGAAGUGAUCGGUAGUGUUGACCAUUGAAUUCUGAUUUUCAGGGUUUUAUGUGCUUAGAUGACAACAAACAAACUCCUCUUAGUUCUUUGCUUUCAGAAUAUUGCUCUUUUCCCGAACUUUUCAACAGUAAGAGUGGCUGCAGUGGAGAGGUAGAUUUGAAGUUUUCUCUGUUCCAAUGACAUUCUAAGGGAAAGUAAAUCCUGUGUUACUUCAAGCCUCUAAAGAUUCAAGAGUAGAAAAACCAGAAAAAAGAAAUCACUAAUCUAGGUGAUUACUCCAAGCUCCUAGCCACAUCGGCCAAGCCUCUUGUUUCCUGUAAAGGUUUCCAAACCGAAUUAGUCUGGUGUCUGUUUUGAAGUGAUGCAGGCACAGUUCACACGGGAACCAAAGUCUGUCUACUAACACAUGCACUCCAAAACCCACUGCCAUGAACUUCAUCGGCUUUUCCCUGGAUGUCGCCUUCUGUAAGGGAGAAGUGUUGCUUUAAAUCAUUUCAGAACAAGCUGCCCCAGGGUGGAAGAACAAACACUAGGCAACAAGCUGAGCAGUAGUGACUAGCUAGGGAACUUUGGAAGAGAACAGGGAACUGUACCAAGGAGAAACACUUGAAAGUUGCACUCAUUCUGAUUCUUCAUAAAUUGCUUGCUUAUUUUGUUGCACCAUAAACAAAUGAUGUUUAGCAGGACUUUUUGUUUAUAAUUGCCUUAAAUUACUGCUACACUCAGAGAUGGGGGACUUGGAUAUACGGGAAGGCUUUUUAAUGUAAUUGAUGUAUUUUCCUGUCACAUUAAUAUGUCACAUGAGUAAAUGCAAAUACUAAAACUAUGCUUGAUCUCUGAUCUUAUUUAGCAUCGGGGUGGUUUUAUUGUAAUGAUCUGUUGCUCUUAAAUGGUGAAUAGCCAUAGCAAAGACUUUAAUCAGAUGGGGGAGCGGAUAGUUAAAGGAUUCAAACCUCCUCUGACCCAGAAAUAGCCCUCUCCAUUGGUCUUUUUUUUUUACAUCUCACCCUACCAGAUGUCACAACAUGCAGCAAUAUUAUGGCAGAGACCAACCUGUUAUAUUAAAAUAGACCAGCGGUCCAUCCAGGUGGGUCCUGUCUCUUUGGCAGUGGCCAAAAUUCUUCAGAAGUUGCAGAGCUUAAGUGAAAGACACGAAGCAUUAAGACUGAAUUGAGGUUAUUUUGAGAUCAUCUGAUUUCCUGCUAGAAGUUUCUGAGAUCAUCGCCCUGAACAACUUCAAACAAAAUGGUCUGAAAGGUUUUUAUUUGGUGAUGGCUUGGUCAAGGACUUGGAUCAAUACAUUGUAUUGAAUGUUAGGCGACAGAAAAUGUUCAGUUUUUUUUUCAUAUUUAUAAAAGUGACUUUCAAUGUCAA